CAUUCCUCUGUUCAGAAACUUAGCGACUAGCUAGGGUUUACUCCCCAUUCUCAACUUUUUCUCAAUCUUCAUCAUUUUUACAACUUUGUUCCACGAUUUGAUUGAAAUUUCUUCUUGAUUUCUUGGUUCAGCGUCACGAUUUACGUUAAUAACUCUUCUUCUCUGAUUCUCGUGGUUUCAUGAGUUUUCGAUUUGGUGUUUUUGCUUUGGAAAUUUUAUAUUUUUGUUUUUUGAUGUUGUGGUAUUAAGUGAUUGAGUUAUUUUCAUGGAGAGGUCGUAUCUUUAAGAUUUUUGGAAAGAAAAUCUCGUGUAUUCACUCCAGAUCCAGUAUGGUUCAAGGAGACUUAACAUUAACUUGAAAUUUGGUGAAAUUUUUAAAGGAACAUUUGAAGAAAAAAUAUUGUCAAAUUGGUGAUAACUUCAUUAAUGCUAUCUAUUGCGAUAAGAUGGUGAGUUGUGUCUAUGUUCAGGGACUUGAGGUAAUCAAUCAUAGCAUUUUAUUCCUUAGCUGUUUGAAACCUAUUAAUGGUUGAGGUGGUCAAUUUUAAGUUUUUGGCAAUUGUGGAUUUGAAGAUAAUUUUUGUGUAGUAUUAUAAAUAUAGUUAUGCUAAAUUGGUAUCUUGGAGUUAGAAAAUUCAAUUGAUAUUCUGUAUGCAGUAGAAGACAAACAUCUUUUGAAUUAGAUAUCUUCACUGGUGAAUUCAGGAUUGAAGUUAAUUUGUGCAGAGACCUCUACUAUUUUUUUCCAACUAGAAAGAGGAAAGGCCAAUUUUCCUGUUAGCAAAAAAAGAACUUGCCAAUAACUUAUGUUUUGUCAAGGCUUUCAAUUCUCCCUAGUAAUUAAAUUACAAACAAUGGGUAAAAGUACUAAGUUCAAAAUUAAAGUAGUUGUUGCACUAAAUCCCAUUUUUCAGAGAACAAGCUUUGAAAUUGUUGGAGUGUUGUCAAGCCCCAUUUCCCAACUAAAUUCGUUUGCAAAUUCAACAUGUUUGUACUUGUCCUUAUUGAUAGACCUAUCGUAUUAUAGUAACCAAGCCAUGGCUGGUAUGCAAAUUCCUUGCUUUAUAUCUAUAUAGGAUAACACAUGUUCCACCUUUUUUUGGCCUCUGGAUCAAGCAGGGAUAAAUGUGCAUUUGAUAUGGGCAAAUCUUUAAUCGUAGAAAAGGGAUGAAGGUGCCUUUUAUAUGGGCAAAUCUUGGGUAGAUAUUCUCAUCUUAUGAUAACUUAAAUAUUUAAGGUAAGUCUUGCUUAGUGAUUGUUGUUUUGCAUGCAUCUAAGUUUAGCAAAGGAAAUAUGAAACUCUCGAGCUAUGUUCCAACUUGAGGUGUAAUAUCGCUAAACAUCAUCUCAGAAAUCUUUUAAGCUGCAACCUUAUAGAGAUUCAAACAAUUGGGAUUGGUGAAGAACUGAAGAUUAUGCUAUUGCUAGCUGAUGAGUCAAUGAUCUCAAGUUUAAAUUCCUAUUAGCUUAUGGAUGCAUGCAGUAAAUUAUUCCCUUCUUUUAUUCUCAUUUAAGCUUUGCAUUUUCAGUUUUAUCAUUACGUGUGGCACAUUUGAGAGGAGGGGGUGGUGCCAGAAGAUGGCAAUUGAAUCAACUCAUGAUUUGGAUUUCCUUCUUUUGCUGCUCUUACUCUUUCAUUUGCACGUGUAUGGGAUUUGGAGAUUUCUAUUUACAAGUCGAGAUGCAAGUUUGAAGAUUUUGAACAAGUUUUGACAAUUUGGUCAUCAUUUUUGUAGGGCAGUUUGGCAAAGUAUUUCAUUACUUGUAUACUUAGAGAUGUUAGUUCUUUAGGCAAAUGAGUUGUGUAAACAAUAUCGUGAUUAUAUUUUUUAAAAGAAUUCGACAUGUACGUGUGAUGCUAAUCUUUAGUUUUAAUUAAUAUGACUGAUGAUUUUGUUUA